AUGGAAACGGGUGGCUCUCCCUCACUGCGAGGCCCUGCAGCCUCCCCAAAACAAGGUCUCAAGGCCCAGAGAAAGCUUGGGGUGGAGGCUGGAGGAAGCCGGUGCAUCCCUGGUGCCGGGACACAUCUUGGCACAACUUGGCACAGCUUGGCACGGCUUGGCACGGCUUGGCACGGCUUGGCACGGCUUGGCACGGCUUGGCACGGCUUGGCACGGCUUGGCACGGCUUGGCACGGCUUGGCACGGCUUGGCACGGUUUGGCACAGCUUGGCACGGCUUGGCAUGGUUUGGCACGGCUUGGCAUGGCUUGUCACAGCUUGGCACAGUUUGGCAUGGCUUGGCACGGCUUGGCACGGCUUGUCACAGCUUGUCACAGCUUGUCACAGCUUGGCACGGCUUGGCACGGCUUGGCACGGUUUGACACGGCUUGUCACAGCUUGGCACAACUUGUCACAGCUUGGCACGGUUUGGCACGGUUUAGCACGGUUUGGCAUGGCUCGGCACGGCUUGGAACGGCUUGGCACGGCUUGUCACAGCUUGGCACGGCUUGGCACGGUUUGGCACGGUUUGGCAUGGCACGGCUCGGCACGGCUCUGCAGCCUGCAGUGGAGCCGUGGCCCCGCGAGGUGUCAGCACAAGGCUGCUGCGGAGGACGCAGCCUCCGCUGUCUGCAUAGGGAGGGCAGGGGGCAAGGGACAGGGGGCUCCCUGCCAUCCCCUACCCAGGCACUGGAGGGUCCUGUGUGGGGACAAGGGAUGUGUCCCUGCCCCAAUCCUUCCUGCUGUGCCUCCAUCCGGGGGUGGCCACCAAGGGGGAGGCCGGCCGAGGGGCUCGCAGGGGCGAUUUGGGGAGCGGGGACACCACAGCGGGAACGAAACCAAACUGGAGCCAUGGAGAGGCGAGCAGGGUGCUCAGCUCGAGGAGCCUCCAGAUCCAUAUUAUGCCUCUCUCAGCCUCACCUGGUGCCUGCGGCACGCUGUGACCCCACAAAACGCCCACCCCCUGCUCCAUCACACCCCGCAGACCCCCGCCCGUGCCCCCCAGCCCGGGCUCCGCGUGCAGCACCCGCGGCGAUGGCUGGGCAGCGCCGUGACCUGCCGAGGCCUCCCGCUCUGUAAAUAG
rnacentral:lncRNA from 1 species